rnacentral:siRNA from 1 species
UAAAGGAUAAACAUUUUGUGG